UAGUGGAACAGCUUUGAAAGUGCCGAUUGGGCUGUACUGUGAGGCUGCUCUGGGCUGGGGAGACUUUCUGAUUAGGAAGUACACGGGACUUACUUCUGAGUAAACAUGCGUAGGCUCAGGCUGCGUGCUUGGCAAAAAUGUAUAGAAGCAUUCGGGGUAAACUUAGCGUAGGAACACACAUCUCUCCUCUCCCUUAACACAUAUUCCAGAGAAUUUUAUGCACACUUCGGCCCCGCCCGAAAGUGACAUUGUUUUCACAUCGUUUAGGCCAGAGCCAAUACUUUUUUCUUUUUCUUUCAGAGACUUUAAGUCCUUAUAUGACCUAAUCUGCGCACUGUACUCUGUUGAAGCGCUUCUGCUUCAAGAAAACUAAUUUGACGAGAGAUAACAGGAACGGGUUUUCCACAAGCAACGUUCCACUUUCAGCAGCUCUUUUAAGAAGUACGGUCUCCUACACCAAUAUUGCUUCUAGUUACUGCUUGCCAAGAUUUUAUCUUACAGCUUGUGCUAAUUCCUUGUUUAUUCAGCGCUAUAUUAUGGUGAAAUUAAUUACAGUUAGGUAGUCCUUGAGGAUCUCACGUCAAAUGAAAAAUGGCCCACAUGCUUACACAAUUCCUUUUAUAGGAACACCCAAGUACAUUUUAAUACGUGUGUAUGGUUAGAGUUCUGAACUGACUGAAAUGGCGAACACAACAAAUUCACCUGAUUAUAUUUGGUCUUACGAAGAUUAUUGGGACUAUUUAGACCCAAUUCCCGUCGAUGCAACCAAGCUGAAGGCAAACAGAUAUUCAAUUGUCAUUGCCUUUUGGAUUGGGCUUGCUGCGUUUGUAGCAUUUCUCUUCUUUAUUUUGUUCUACAUGUCUCGGUCUGAUUCUACACCCAUAAGGAAUGGAGGAUCAUAGAAAAUAUCCCCAUGGAAUUAUUCAAAAAAUAUUCAUCAAAAUCAUGUAACCAUACUAAACCUUACAAAUAAUCAGGUGGAAAAAAUAAAAGUGAUGUGCUGAAAUAACAGCUCACUGCAUG